CGCCUGUUCAGCUCAAGUGGGCUGAGUCUCUUACAACAACACACUGCUCCUAACAUUGUGUCUGUCAGGUGUGAAUUGUUCGUUCACUGCAUCUCUCUGAGGAAACAAACAAAAAAGAAGAGACUCAAACUGACGCAAAAGUGAAGCUUUGGGAAAGGACCCUGUCUAACUUUGAUUAAAAAAAGAAAAGAAAGAAAAACAAAACACACAAUGGGAAAAGGUAACAGUGAAGAAUGGGACAUGCAGCAUCCGGACACCGUUCGGAAUCAACCACCAAGCUAUGCAGAGUCGGAGAAAUCCGAUAAAAAGAAGGGGAGUUCAAAGAGCAGCUGCCCUAAGUGCUGCCUAAAGACACGCGACUGUCUAAUGAGCGCAGAGUGUGGACGAGCUCUUCAGAUCUCUCAGGUCGUGGCCAUGUGUGGAAUGUGUCUUCGCUGGUUUAUAUAAUCUUACUUUGGUUUUCAGGACAAGUUGUGCAACAACCAAGCUUUGUUUAUUUUCUGGAUCCAUUUCUGACCCACUCUGAUGCCAUAUGUUCUCUACUCCACUUCUAAAGUGCUACUGGCAGCUUCACUGUUCUGGUUAUUUUUAAUACCCAGUCUACAGGUAAUGGUAAUUACCAUAUAGGACGAUUGUGUUUCUUUUAUAUGUCAUACUGAAAGUCAACUUUAAAGGACAAAUACAGUUGCACAACAGUAUGCAUGUUGGUAUUGAAUGAUGUACAAAUAAUAUAAUAAUGGUCAAUUUGCAUGUGCUUUGGAUUUGACUUUAGUGUAGUCAGCUUAGAUGUUAUUUAUUUACACUACAGCCCAUUGGUUUUCAGCCUUGUUAAAUGAAACACAAUGAUUAUCAUUGUAAGAUAAAAAUGUGCUCUAAAAUAAAAUAUAAAAUUCUAUCUUAUAAGCAUUGAAUAUAUAAAAAGGGGGGAAAAAUCACAUUAUGACUCAAUUGAUUGUGAUGAUGUACUUUGUGGCAAUACUAGCUGAAGUAGUUUGACACACAAACACUUCCUGCAUGUACUUUGGGAGAGCAAAUCAAUUCUGUUUAUAGCACCCCCUGUAGAGAACCUGUUUAUAUAGAAAAUGAAAUCUGCAUUCUUUUACUUCAGUUUCCACCUGACUACCAGUAAGGAUGCAAAAUAUAAAUUUUGGAUUCAUAUUUUGCAUAUUUUGAAAUAAUAUCACGAGGCAGACAUGGGGUGCAUUCCAACUAGAAGGUCAGGAGUUUCAUUACAGCCACAUGCUGAUGUGUCCUUGAGGUAGAAAUACCAUUAGAGUUUUCACUGUGGGGAGCCAUGAGGAAGGCAGCAGCCUAAAUUAUACGCCUGAAAUAUCUGGAAAAAGCUGCAUGUUGUAAUGUGAAAAGUUUCACAUUGUAAUGAGAUGAUGUAUCACUUUAUUAUGACAUAGAAUCUUAUCACAUUAUAAUGACCUACUGUCAUGUUAUUAUGUGAAGGACUGUUUUAUUAUGAGAUACUUUCGUUAAUUUUGAUAAGCUGUGAUAAGCUUUUGCAUCGUACAAAAAGUAUCUUGUUUUAACAUAAAACUUUGAAAUUACGUAACACAUCAUUUUUGCAGUUUAGGUAUUAAAUGUAAGAUUCCAUUCAGUCAUAUGUAUGACAAAAAGACACAAUCUGCAAGAAUAAAGGUGAAUUAAUUUAAAUAAAGGUAAGGAAAUGGAGAUUAACUCGUAUAACAAGAAAUGAAACAUAUAUUUACUCAGCUCUGGAAAACAAAGGUGAGCGAAUUAACAGCAGUUAGGCUCCAGACCAGAGACUGUUCAGACAGUACAGAUGCUAUAAGUACAUAUAAAACAUUCACAGAUGGAAGAAGAGGUGACAGCUAAAGUGAAAGCGUACACAUUUUAAAGCAAGAAUAAAAGCUGCAUUGUAGUUAUAAAAACGAACAUUAAAGCCCAAACAACAACAAUCAAAUGUGGAAUCAAAUGGCAUAUUGAAUCAAAACAAGUUAAUUUGUUUCUGCUUCUGACAAUCACAUUAGGACAAACUCAUUAAAUGAAAAUGAAAAAUAAGGGAAAAUAAAACAAACUGACAUUUUAAACAAAAAACCUCAAACCACUGACUCUAAUCUAUAUUGUGCUGAAAAAGUCAUAACGACAUUUUAUAUUUGUCUCUGGUGUCUCAUCUGCUGCGGAUAUAAAAGGGUAAAAAAAAUUGAAAUUUGAGAGUGAUGCCGGCAAUUAGUGUUUGAAAAUGUUUUCAGAAGAAAUGUGUGCUUUCUGUCUGUGCAGUACUGUUAAGUCGGCACAUGUAUUCUGGAUAUGUACUUUCCAUUUAAAAAAUGAAAGUUUUCUAUUGUAAAUCGAAGGCUCAUGCCCAAGAAAUUACAUAAAAUCAUAUGAAUAAAUAAAUGUGGGGGUUAAAAAGGCUAAGAUGCUGUGGUGAUCAAACAAUGACUUGUAGAAUAAACUGUAUACAGACCCUCCAGAAUACUGUAAUAAUAAUAAUAAUAUAAUCACUCUUUGAUCAAUGUAUACACUCCCAGUUAUGGCCUUGAUGCAAACAAGCAUGCUUCUCUGUUCCUACUGGGUUUGAGUAGAAUGACAAACCUCGUGUUGAUUCACUGUUUGAAGCUUCAAAACAAGACAACAGAUAUGUGUUCUUUGAUCAUCAGGGCUCAGCGACACAAUAAAGCCUCUCACAAAAUACAUACUUGGUAAUUUGUGAAUGUCAUGGGGACACUGGGGUUAAAAUCCACUGUGACAAACACAGACUACUAAAAGGUGGUUUUUCUUUGCCCUGUUCUACUUUCUCCUUUCUUUAAAUACCUCUGUCUCUGUUAGUAUGGCCACUUAAUGUUCCAUCGUGUCAGUGAAGGCAUCACAAUACAGGGGUGACAUUUCAAGCAGACAGAUUAGAGCUUCUCUCCAAUUAAUUUCGCUUCCCUCCCCCUGUUAAAUACACAAUCAAGCAAAGGCAAAAUGUCAGCGAAACAAACGAGGAGCCACAAUGUGGCUGACAAUUACCACCAAGGACCUCAGAAAUGCCAAUAUGUUAAAGUGGGAGCAGUGUGUAAGAUGAAUGGGGACAAAUGGCCAUCUCUGAAGAGGCUCGUAGUUACAGCAGCGUUUGAAUGUGUCGGUGUAUGGUAACUGACGAUGACCAGAUGUAGCGACAGACCCAGUUAAGAUGAAAGGUCGGAGGUGACCCACUGUGAAGAUGGACUAUAAGUUUGGAGAGACAGUGGUGGGGAAGUCUAUCUGAGAAAAUGUCCAAACUGUGUAUUAUAAACAUGUUUUUAUUGAAAGUGCAGAGCGCAUGUUUUGACGAUCCGUGUUUUUGUCGAUGCAGGUAUUUUCCCAUUGUUUGGUCCUGGUGAAAAGAAUGUGGCAUUAUUUGUAUUCUGUGUCCUUCAUCAGAAAAAUGGGCUCUGUCAGGCAAAACUAUCAGACAUGACUGAGGGAGUGCUGGGGUAUGAAAGGUGGAACUGCAGGCGGAUGGGGGCAAAAAACAUUAAUCCUGUCAAACUGCUGAAUGUCCAACUUUUUUUUUCUUAGGAGGAACAUUCUGCGUCUAGAAGGCUUCUGGGCAAUUCUCUGCAUUCCCAGAAGAAUAAACCUGGUCUCCCCUUUUGCUCUUUUGGUUCUAAUUGAUAAUCAUUUUCAUCAUGUUUAAAAUGUUAAAUCUUACAAAACAUUAAGUAGUUGCGGAUCAGA